rnacentral:rRNA from 1 species
UACGAAGGGGGCUAGCGUUGUUCGGAAUUACUGGGCGUAAAGCGUGCGCAGGCGGCUUCUCAAGUCAGGGGUGAAAGCCCAGAGCUCAACUCUGGAAUUGCCUUUGAGACUGAGUGGCUUGAGUACGAGAGAGGUGAGUGGAAUUCCCAGUGUAGAGGUGAAAUUCGUAGAUAUUGGGAAGAACACCGGUGGCGAAGGCGGCUCACUGGCUCGUAACUGACGCUCAUGCACGACAGCGUGGGGAGCAAACGGG